rnacentral:lncRNA from 1 species
GCUCAGGCAGGUUCAGCUGAGCAUCUCGCCCACUUCCCUCCCCCCACCCUACCACUCUGGCUUCAGAAGCGGAAAUGGACCCUGGAUAGGCACCCCAGAGGGGCUGUCAGAGAGGAGGGAUGUGCUGGAAUGUUCCAGAUGGACAAGGGCAUGGGAAAGACCAAGGGUGCUGAGAAGCAGGAGAAGGCAUCUGGUGACUUUGGAGAUCCAGAAAAGGAAGAGGGUGACUGCAGGCUACAGGCAAGACCACAGGAAGGACUGGAAGCUAAGGGUCUUGGGCAGCUCUCUGAGGAAUCCUUAGGGGACACUCCCCUUCCCAUCAGGCGGGGGCUGGAGAAGGAGGGAAGCCAGUCCAGGGCUCUCCUUGCACGCCCACGUGACUGCUCCUACGGGCGUGUGCACAUCAGCGUGAUCAGGGCACACGGGCCACCCGGAGCGAGUGGAUGCUUAGUGGAGAGGCGAGGAUGUUGGGUCAGGGCCGUCCCCAGGCCAGUGAGGCACGGUCAAGCCUCCUCUUCAUCAGAGCAGGUGCGUCUCCCUCAGGAAACUCGAGAUCUGUGAAAAGCCGCAUUCGCUCUGCAAGUUCCCGCUUGGGACUCUCCGCCGACAUAGAGCCCAGAACACCAUUAAGGGUCAAAAAAAGUGGCCAUCUGCCCUGAUCUGGCAUUUGGGGACAGCGGGGCUUCUCCAGCCCACACCUGGUUGGAUGUAGAGUAAGUGGCAAUGUGACCUGGAGUCCCCAGCCCUGGUGGCCUGAUCAGCGGCCGUGACUCCAAUUUACUUUCUUUUAAAAGCACCUCUGGCCUCCGGAGUUCUAAUGCUUCCCAUCAGAGGCACUCUGGGGUCUCUCCGGGUGCUCACGUCAACUCGAAGGCCCCCCAGAGUCCCCGGGAGCAGCUGGGACCUCGCCAGGCACAUGCCCACAUCAGACCCCCAAUGUCACCAGUGAGUGGUGUUCUGGGAUGGCGAGGGGGGCGCAGAGAAGGAAACCGAUUCUCCCUUGAAUUUGCCAUGUCACUGUGCCCUCGGAUCAGAGCCACGGGGGCCCAGCGCGGGUCAGGAUCUUCCCUUUGGGCCCUUUCCAGACACAGAGUGGAGCCACCAAAAAGAUCCCAGUGGCCUCUCUGGCUCUGGAGAUAGAAAUGUGCGUGGCCAAGGCCGCCUCGGGGGCAUGUCCGCCCAGCUGGCCAUGAACCCUUCCCUGGAAACCACCCAAGGGGGGGGGGGCGGAUGUCAUAAAAAUUCCAAGAGAGCACAUCUGUGGGGUGGAGCACAUCUGGGGGGUCCAGGACCAGCUCACGGAUGGCUCUCCGCUUACCCACUGCCCCCCGGCUCACGGCUCGGGCACAUUCCUGCCCUGAGAGGCCCCUCAUGUUGCCUGUGCUGAUAAGAUUCUUGGUGGCCAGCAACGGGACCCACCACGGCUGGUUUAGGUCACAAGACGAGCCCAGGCAUCAAGAUCGGCGUCCCCGAGACCAGGAACGGUCCCCAAAUCACACUGCAAGGAGAAUAUUCCAGCCAAGACCAUGGCCACCAGUCACUGCCAGGCCCUCCCUCACCCCGUGCCCGGGGUCCAGGUCCUGCACCCCAGCUGGAGGGAAGCCUGAGCAGCCUCCUGCCUCUAGAGUGGGAAGGAAGGGGCCCCAAGGAGAAGGAGGGUUCAGGGAGCUCAGGUAGAGCCCUUGCCCAGCAGGGGAGAGGCCCUGGGCGCAUCCCGAGCACCAGAUAAAGAAACGCAGAGCACUGACAUGUCGCUCACCCCUCUCGGGGGCCCCCACAGGGGUCUUGUGAUGGGACUGCUCGGCCUGUGACCCCGGAGCAGCCUGGACACUCCUGGCUUCUGAGGAACCAAGGUGACACAGAAGAGCCCCUCAGGACGCAAACUGUAAGGAGGCCCUCACCCUCGGGUUGGUGACAGUGCUGUCCCCUUUUCUGCCUCAGUGGCCUCUCCCUGCUCCAGGCCCCGCUUCCUGUGGUGCCCCCACUGGUUUUCCUAGCACAGAGAGGUUGUACAUCUUGCCCAAGGUCACACAGCUAGUAAGCAGCAAAGCUAGGAUUUGGACCUCAGUCUCCCCACUGCCCUGUCAGGCCCUCCCAGAGCUCUGGGAGCGGUGGAAAGGACCGUCGUUAACUCAUUCAAGACGUGUCAGAACGGCCACAGGGCCACUGAAUCCCGCCCCUGCAUCCACUGACGAUUGUCACGAUUAGCACUGGGGUGUUGGCGCUGGUGCAGUCACGAUGACCAGGACUGUGAGCAGAUUGGGGAAACCGAGGCACCAAAGUCAGCUAUGCAGCUGGGUAGUGGGAAAGCAGGUCAGUACCCAGCGGUGGGCAGAGGCAUAGGGCAGGGACGAGAGGGGAGCAGGCCAGGAAGGGUCCACCCCGCACCUCCAACCCUCAGCUGCAAGCUCUUGAGAUGGCCCAGGCUCAGCGCGGGCUGGGCUCGGCUCCUCUCCCCUCUGCAGCCCGGGUGGGAGGUCACUUGCUUUCCUCAGAAUCCCCACCAGUCCCCCAAAGACAGUGGCCUUCCAGAGGCCCACACAACCUGGGCCGUGGGAAGCGCAUUCUUCCCGUCUUCUGUUUGGAGCCAAGAGGCGUUUACUUAAUGAAGGCUCGUACCCCCCACGCACAUGUGCUGAUGAUUAGUGACCUCACCGGGCAGGGAGGCCCUGAAGCCAGGAGCAGGACGGCCAACGACAGGCUUCAAAGAUCUGGGAAGGAAGGGGCCCGGACGGUGCUGACCCCGGGCAGAGCCCAAGAGGUCUGUCUGCAGGCUCCGCCCCCUGGGGACGAUGGGGACGGCAGCAGCAGGGUCCUGUGGCAUGUCUGGGUGUUGAGUGACUCAGACAUCUCACAAGCUUCUGUGCCACCCAAAGCCACCAGCAGGGAGUGUCCACGAAUACAUCAUUAAAGAGGGCCACCAGCAAGUGGCCUUGGGAAUGAUGGUGGCCCAGUCCCAGGCUCCAUUCACACACUGGACAUUCAGCACCAGCCUCGAGUUGCAGAAGAGACUCAAGACUUCCGCCACUUGAGUUGUUUUGGUGACGAUCAAAUAUCAGCCAUGGUGGCGUGGCAGAGGGGGUGGGCCGGUCAGCGUUCUGUUGCUGUGACAAAAUACCUGAGAAAAGCCCCUUAGAGCAGGAAGGUUGGCUGGGCUCAGGGCUGCAGAGUUUCCGUCCCUGCUCGGGGGCUCCAUUGUUUCUGGGCCCAAGUGAAGGAGGACGUGAUGGCAGAGGCAGAAGCCAGUGCACAGGAGGCUGGUCAGCUCCCGGCUGAGGGAGGGAAGGGAAAGGACCAGGGACAGGAAACGCCUUCCCAGGCCACCUGGGUGUCCCCAGGGACACCCUCCCUCCCGCCCCCUCCCACAGGAGCCCUCCAGUGGAUUAACCGCUGCUGAGGUCGCCUUCCAAAGGCCACCUCUAGCCCCACGGCACCAGGGACCAGGCCUUCCACACAGGAGCCUCUGGGGACCGUCCAGAUCCAAACCCUAGCAGCCGAGGUGGCCGCAGUGACCAUGGGCAGAGCAGACGGGCAGCGCUAUGAAGGGCGCGGUGAGCCAGAGGGCCGCGGGUUGGUGCUGUGAGGGACAGUGAGGGCUGUGUGCCGGGCUCCCGGGGACACGGAGUGGUGUGAAGGGUCCCAGUGGCACCGACAGCCUGGCCACGGCUUGGUGCUGGUGGUGCUGCUGCCCAGGGUCAUUGAUGGGCAGCGUCCUGGUCAUGACGUAAGGAAGGUGAGCCAGCGGUGACCACGGGGACCAUGGUGAGCAGGAGGUUAUAAAGGACGGGGUGGGGGUGCAGCGAUGACCACAGUAAGCAAAACAAAUAAGGAGGGUGACAAAGGGGGAGGGGACACUGUGUCACCAGCCUUGUGUUUUAUUUUUUUUUCUUUAGUACCAGGGAUUCAACCCAGGGUCACUUAACCACUGAGCCAUCUCCCCAGCCCCUUUGAUUUUUAUUUAGAGAGAGGGGGUCUCACUGAGGUGCUUAGGGCCUCGCUAAGUUGCUGAGGCUGACCUCAAACUUUCGAUCCUCCUGCCUCAGCCUCCCAAGCCGCUGGAUGACAGGCAUGCGUCACUCUGCCGGGCUCUUUCCUCAGCCUAUGGACAGGAGCUCAGUCUGUUUCUUUCCCUUUGAUCACUAGAGAGCAAAUGCUUAUAUUCUCCAGCCCAGGGAUCUCUCCACUGCCACCACGCCAGCUGGGAUGCACAACCUUGAACAAUACACUUCUUAGUAGGAAGAUUGGGCCAAAUCGAGUGUCAUAAAUGCCCAGGUGCCCUCCCUCCUUCCAGUGUCUAAAUCAGCAAGUGCCCAAAGGGGUAAAGAGCUCAGUUAGAGAGUCUGGGCUCUGCAAUCCACAUGGAUUUGAAUCUUUGGUUGUGCUGUGUGACCUUGGGUGAGCUAAUUAACCUCUCUGAGGCUUGGUUUCUUCAUAUGUAAAAUAAAACUCAUAUUUUUAGGAGUUUUAUCUUAUAAAAAUCCUACCUCCCAGGAUUGUCAUGGGGAUGAGAGUCAUAGGUGACCUGUUCGGACUGUUCUCAGGGCCCCUUGAGGGAUUCAACAGUGUUGGUCACCAUUAUUACAAUUGCUAUUAUUCACCAGCGCUGCUAGACAAGCAGAACUGGGCCUGGACCCAGGGCCAGACUCCAGGUUCUGGGGGGCAAAGGGCGUUGGCCACCGGCUCUCCCCACCCACCCCUGUGCUCCUCGGCGCCCUCGGUCGGUGGGGACACGCCCCACAGGUCAGGAGAGGCCGCGGCUUUCCUCGCAGUUGCCCAGAGAUGGCCCCGGGAAACCCGCACCAGGGCCCCGUGAGCCAGGCUGGGUCGCCCCUGGCUGCAGAGGGUAGGAACAGGUGUCCACCUGAGCAUGUGGCGGCGGGCCACCUGCCUGGACAGCCCUGGUCUGGCUGCAGCGCUCUAGAACCCGGCCAUCUGCCCAGCCAUUGUCAUCCCUCUUCCCUAGGGAGCUGGCCGCACGGGGUUCGCAGGGGACCCUUGGCCCAGACGUCUGGACUCGCAGCUUCCGGUCUGUCUCCUCGGACCAGUCGCUGGCCUGGUCCACGCCAUAGGGCUUCCCCUUGGCCCUGGACCCUCCGCAGGCACCUCCCAGGACAGAGGAUGGGCCCGGGCAGUGCUUCAUCCAGAACGUCCCGAGAGCCGGGUCCUCAAGUGCCCGGCCCAGCGCUGGAGAGGGGCUUCCACGGCCACAUGUCACACAAGCUGUGACCAGAGCAGUGACCGAUCAGGGAGGCCAGGGCUGGGGUGCAGCUCGGUGGCCGAGCACUUGACUGGCACACAAGAAAAGAGACAGACAGAGAGGACCUGACGAGGACGUCGGGUGACCUUGCUGAGCCCCGCCUGCGGCAGGUGCCCUUCCUAAGUCUCCUAAUUCACCUUAUUCCCACACCACACCACGGGGGGGACCGGAUCCUGAUUCCCAUUUUCCAGAUGAGGAAUCUGAGGCAGAGGGGAGUGCGUCACUGACCACUUCCAAGUGGUCACUCAACCAGGACUUGAAGCCUCCCAGCCUGACCCAAGCUCAGCUCCUGUCCACGGAGCUCUGCUGACCAAGGCUAACAGAACACCCCGUGUUGAGGGACAGAGAGGAAGGGGACUUUGCCCGGAAGCACUGUUGGCCACCCCCCAAGACCCCCAAGAGUCCCAGGGGUCAGUGAACCCAAGAAAAAGGGAAAGAAUGUUCUCGGCGGAAGAAACAGCGGCUGUGUGCGAGGCGUGGAUGUGGAAGCCAGGCAGCCCUGAGCCACUCCAAGCGUGACUGCGACGGUUUGGAUCUGGAGGUCACCCAAGGCCCACGCGGUAAAGGCGUGGUCCUGGGCCAUGCGUCCCAGCACAGCCCUGGGGACCGAGGCAGGAGGAGGAGGGUCAAGGCCAGCCUGGCAACUUAGCAAGACCCCACUCAAAGCACCAAACAAAACCCUCUCAGUCCUCAGCUCAGCACAACCGGAAGGUGGUGUGGUUUGCGAGAUCGGGCUAAGGAGGUCAGAGGUCACUGGGGGUAUGCCCCCCAAAGACAUAAUGGGAGUCAUCCCCUUUCCUGUCUCUCACUUGGCCUCCUGGCUGCCACGAGGCAAAGCUUCCUUCACCCCGCGUUCCCUCCAUGAUGUGCUGUCUCACCACAGGCCCAACAGCAUAUGAGCCAACCGAAAGUGGCCUGAAACUUCCAAACCAUGAGCCCAAAGAAACCUUUUCUCUUUAUAAGUUUAUCAUCAUCUCAGCCAUCUGUCAUAGUAACAGAAAGCUGACUGAUACCACGAGAGCAUACCGUGAGUAUAAAACUACAGCGUCGGGGAAGGAGUUAUCAUCUGCUUGCUCACAACCUGCCAGGCGUUAUAUUCAUUGCCAUAAAUAAUACCGGUUGCCUUAGUAAGUAAACCACAAGACAUCAAAGAUUUACAUGAAAAAACAUGGACUUCUUGCAGCUGGAGACGCCUGGCUGCCACGCAGCCUUCUGGGUGUUACUCAGAACCAGCUCCUCUAUCUUCCAGGACACAUUUUUCCUGCAGAGUCACAUGGUAAAUAUGUUUGCCUCUGUGGUCUCUGUCACAGUUGUUUAGCUCUGUGUUGUUUGACGGCAGCAAGAGCAACAGGAAGGACUGGGCGUGUCUACGCUCCCGUGAAACUUUGCUUACAAAUACAAGUGGGGGCAGGAUCCAGCCCAGGGGCCACAGUUUUCCAGCCCCUGUCUAGGGUGUGAUUGCCUGUGCUGUCCUGCACGCAGCCAGCAGACAGGGAGUGAGAAGGAGCAGCUCACGCCAGAGGACGUACCCAGUGACUUAGUAGGAAGUCGUGAAAUCACUCAAGUUCAGUGACAAGGCCACCUUUACGAGAAGGGGAGCAUGCUGAAGCCUGGUGGCUCCCCUCCCCUCACCAGUACAGCUCCUGGGUCCAGGCAAGUGGGGCUCACCCCUUAGAGACGUGCACAGUUCUCCUCUGACCAGCCUGCUCCAGCAUGGACGCCUGAUGCGAGGCUGGCCUUCUGGGUCACUACAAAGAGAUACCCCCCAGGUCAGUAUAACAGAACGUGUUUAUUUUGUGGGGAGUGAGGGGGCACCAGGGAUUGAACUCAGGGGCACUCGACCACUGAACCCCAUCCCCAGCCCUAUUUUGUAUUUUAUUUAGAGACAGGGUCUCACUGAGUUGCUUAGCACCUUGAUUUUUGCUGAGGCUGGCUUUGAACUCUCGAUCCUCCUGCCUCAGCCUCCCAAGCUUCUGGGAUGACAGGUGUGUGCCACUGCACCCAGCAGAACAUGUUUCUUUGAAUAGCAUUGCUAGCUUGAAUUAUGACUUCUAAAUAUGAACAGAGGGCAUAUGAACUUCCAAUUCAUACACCCUAACAAGUGGGGACAGGGGACUGGUGGUCUCCCUAGGCAUUGCGCAGUGACCUUAAAGCCAGAUCACCUGGAUCUGAAUCCCAGCUCUGCCCCACACCAGCCGUGGGGUCUUGAGCAUUUGGUUUAGCCUCCUCUGUGCCUCAGUUUUCCCAUCUGUAACAUGGAGAUGACUACCUUAUCAGGUUGUGGCAAGGAUUUAAUUGAGUUAAAAUCUGUAAAACACUUAGAACUGUGCCUGGCUCACAGUGAAUAUCCUGUUAAAUAAAUAGAUUGUCCCCAGCUUCUUCUUGCUGCCGCAAAGCCCAGUCUCUCCUCACCUCCAGGGAAAUACCGCAUGAAUAACCAGAGUCAUCAGCUUGUAGCUUUCCUUCUCUCUCUGAAAGUAAUAGCCCCAAGGUGGCAGUUACUGUCUCUUGCUGUUCCUGUAAAGCGACCUGUUCAAAUGCCAACUGCCACAUGUCACCUUAGCUGGCAGAAAGUUGUUCCACCUGGUAAUCACUCAGAAAUUAUCAUGCUUCCCUGUUCUGCAUGGAGGCGGGGGCCAGGGCUAUCUGUCAGCUUUGGCGCCGUCCACCCUUGGCAGAGCAGAGACAAAACUGCAGGACCAGGCAGGAUGGCGAAGAGCUGGCCUUCCUCACAGCGGCACUUUUCCCUGAGAUGCACCCGAAGUGUAUGGAGCCUUCCCUGCCACAGACCACGGAUGCAAUGGGAGGGGUAGGGGGUGACCCAGGAAGGGGCUCAAGGUUAACCUCACUCCCAGCCCAACCUUAGAAGCCUCCUCCCACAUUAGAGAUCUUGGAACCCUUCCCUCAAAAUAAAGGAGAAGCUAUUCAUUGCUGCAUUCUACUAAUCGGUUGGGGUUUUUUGCUCUGUUUGUUUUGGUGCUAGGGGUCGAACCCUGGGGUGCUUAACCACUUAGCC